ACAGAUCUCUUUGAUUGUUGCUGCUCCCAUUCGGAGAGCAGCCACGGGGGGGAUCUGCAUGUGC
rnacentral:pre_miRNA from 1 species